GUCCGCUACCACGCCCGGCUAAUUUUUGUAUUUUUAGUAGAGACAGGGUUUCACCUUCUUGGCCAGGCUGGUCUCAAACUCCUGACCUCAAGUGAUCCACCCAUCUCAGCCUCCCAAAAGUGUUGGGAUUACAGGAGUGAGCCACCGCGCCUGGCCCACCAAAAGCUUUAAAGUGAGGUGAAUGCAGAUUCCAUUUUCAGAUUCUGCUACAAAUUGUGGGACCUUAAACAAGUUACUCAUCUUCUCUGUGCUUUAGUGUUAUGAUCUGGAGCCUGAUCUUCAUUCUACCACUUACCCUGUACAUCUUGGAAAUUUUAUUUUAUUUCCCUGUGACUGUUGCCUUGUCUUGCAGAUGGAUUAUUCUAACAUCCACUUCAUAAUCUUGUUUCAUUUAAGGAGAUUGAUCAUACGUGGGAAGCACUUAGAACAGUGCAUGGACGAGCACGAGUAUUUCAUAAUGAGCAGCUGUGGCUGUUACUAACACUGGUAUUACUAGUACCCGUACUUCCAGGCAGGGUUGUUGAGAAGGUGAAAUGAAAGAACGCACACCAGGGCAGGCUACAUAAUUUGUGGACCCCGGUACAGAAUGAAAAUGCAGGACACCUUGUUCAAAACUUCCUAAAAACGUCAAGACUGGGACAGCUGAGUAUUAAACCAAGCGCAGGACCCGGACCUGCACAGGUUGCACGCUCGCAGACACAUUUGCACACAGUGUGUGCUAAAUAAAUGCUCCGUUCACCCUUGUGAAGUUUCCUAUGCCUCACUCGCGCCAGCACCGUUCACAGUGCCCACUGGCUGUAUUUAUCGCUGACAUAAGGAUGAGGCCUGGAAUUGCAUUCACU
rnacentral:lncRNA from 1 species